GCCAUGUCUUGCAACUACCGUUUUUCAGUACAAUCUAAUAUAUACAUGCUUGUACAUGAUUUAAAUGCACUACCUAAAUAAAGAAUAAAAAAAAAAUAAAAAAAAUUAAUGCAGAUGGUACGAGACUAGAUAAGAUAAUAGUGUGAGCUGGAUAUUACUCCGCUGCAGAUUGAUUUGGAUAAAUCGUGGCACUGGGCAGACAAGUAUCAGAUCAGAUUCUGGGUACUUAACAGGAAAGUUAUGGGAUAAAGAUCCCCCACUCAAUUCAUACUCUAAAUAAGAAUGAGUUAGGAAUAGUGGUGAAUGAAGAAACAUGGGAAAGUUACAGAGAACAAUGUGUAAUACCAGUAAGUUGUUGCAUAUGCCAGUAAGGAGCUAUAAUGUCUAAAAAGGCAUAUUAGUUCAGGAGAUGAAAUAUAAUUCAUUAUUAAAAACUUUAAUAUAUUUAAAUUUGAACAUCAGCUUUACUUAAGCAUAUAAUAUCAAUGUGCAUAGUGCAUAGGCUAGAUAUGAAAUUAACAAAGGUAAUGGAAGAUAUUAAUAAAGAAGAAUCAGAGCUCCCAAUAGUACUGCUUUCAGUGGGCAGUCCUAUUUUCACACUUUACUAUUUGUUUUUUUGUUUUUUUAUACAAUAGUUUUUUAAUGUUUUGUCUGUUUAUUGUGUUAUAUAAUUGUAAUAAAGUUAAUCCUUUUAAAUGUAAUUUAUUUUGGAUUGUACUACUUUUUAAAAAACCUUUUUGGCUUCCUGGUUCCACACAUCCCAGGUGGGAAUUAUACCAACAGAGCUCUACAGCAGCAGAGCAGGUCAAUGCUUUGCUCUAUGUAAAUAGCAUACCCACCUUUUGCUUUGUGCAGUUUUUUUUCCAUACAUACUGCACCAUUAAAUAUCUCUCCCUUUUUGUUUUUACAUAUUGUUCUAUUUUUUUUGGAGUGAUAUCACCACUGCUGACUUCUGUAUAUCCAGAGAUGAGGAUUGUACCGUCCAAACUGAAUACACC